GCCGGCGUAGCUCAGGGGUAGAGCAACUGAUUCGUAAUCAGUAGGCCGGGGGUUCGACUCCCCCCGCCGGCUCCA
rnacentral:tRNA from 1 species